rnacentral:rRNA from 1 species
GGAUUAGAUACCCUGGUAGUCCACGCCGUAAACGAUGUCUACUAGUUGUCGGGACUCUUGCAGUCUUGGUAACGCAGCUAACGCGAUAAGUAGACCGCCUGGGGAGUACGGCCGCAAGGUUAAAACUCAAAUGAAUUGACGGGGGCCCGCACAAGCGGUGGAGCAUGUGGUUUAAUUCGAAGCAACGCGAAGAACCUUACCUGGCCUUGACAUCCUGCGAAUCUCUUGGAGACAAGAGAGUGCCUUCGGGAACGCAGAGACAGGUGCUGCAUGGCUGUCGUCAGCUCGUGUCG